GACAAAUAAAAUCUAAAUUUAAUCUGGAACACAACAAAAUGUGGAAAAAGCCAAGGGGUGUGAAUACUUUCUGAAGAAACUGUAUGUCAAAGUAUGUUAAAUAUUGUUGGGAUCAGCUAAACUUUGAACAUUGAGAUAUUAAAUAAAUGAUAGAGACAAAAGCCUUGAAUAGAAAGUUUGUAAAAAGCCAGAAGGCUUUGGAAUGUGUUUGAUGGAGAAGAGGAGAGCGAUGUGUUGAUAUAGGGAAGACGGAUGGAUAUCUGUGGGUCAGGAGGUGAGGGGUGAGGUCAGUUCCCCUUAAGGGAGUAAUAGGGGUUAGUAUCUGGUUACCUUCUUUCCUGUGGAGCCAUAAACUGUAAGGAAGAGGAGUGUCUUAAGUAGGAUGUAUAUAAACUGUGAUGUCUGAAAUCUUUAGCUGUCUGUUUUCAGCUCUACAGAACCUUUGUGGAAUUAUUAAACUUGGUUAAAGGUUCUAUAGUGUCCGUGGGUUAUUUACUCUGAAAAUUAAGAACCUAACAGUUGGCGUUGUCAACAGGAUUCACCACGAUUUUGUAUCAAACCAAAGACUCCAGAUUAGUGGAACAGGAGCCAGCACAGUAAAUAAGGUAGGCAAGUUCCUACACCUGUUACCACUCAUUUAGACAUCUUGGGGAGAUGAGAAUCAUAGGCUGAAUAAUUCUAGAAUACGGAUUUAGGAGGCCUGAGUUUUUUCAAAAGGCCCAUUGUGUAACGACCGGUCAUAGCUUUAUAGUAAAUGGUAAGGCCCGGAAGGUAAACUCAUACAGGCUGGUACCUGUUGGGUAAGUCCUAGGGGGUAACUCCCUAGUAGGUUGGUUCCUGCUAGUACUAUAAAGUCAAUAGUAAAUCCCAGUGGAUUAAUACCUGUGAUUACUAUUAAUAUAGGGUGAGUCCUGGAAGGUAAACUCACGCAGGCUGGAACCUGCGAAGGGUAAGUCCUAGGGGGUAAAUACCAGCGGGGUUGGUUCCCUGUAUAGCUACAAUGGGGUGAGAGCCUAGUUGUAUUGGCCAUAAAAGUGUGAAUGGAAGGUUAGUUGUGUGCCUUGUUGGGGUGGUGAACCAUGGCAGAUUAUGUGGAAAUAGGAAGACAAAUGUGAAUAAUAUUGGUGAAGUAUUAUCAAUAAUAGGGAUAUUGGAGGAGAUACGGCACAAAGACAUUAAGAAAUCCGUAUUCUCCAGUAAUAGAUUCGCAGACGUUUAUGGUAUUGGUUUUUGAAUUAUUAUCCGGGGAAGUGUGUAGUGCUAUCUUAGGAAAUAGUGAAUAGAUGGUGUGUAUAAUCAAUGGGAGUUAAGGAAUCUAAGAUACCCUGAACACCGUCGGGUAUCUAUUGAUAGGGCGACAAAAGAACCCGUUUCUCCCUGUAAUAUAGAGAUAGCGGAAUUGAAUAAAGCCAUGGAGGCGCUAAAAGAAGCACACGAGCAUUCUACCAAUUCGGCUGGAAUAUGGGAAAUUUUUUAGCAAAUUAGAUUAAAUUGGGCAAUAUUUUCCUUCUAACGGUGAAUUCAAAUCAAAUAAAGAAUGCAGGGAGGCAAUUAUGACUUGGCACAAGGACAUAAAAACAGAAUCAAAAACUUAAUAUACCCGUGUUUUAAUGUCAGCAUUCUAUCAACAGAAAAUGCGUAAACCCAUAAAGUGUAACAUCAGUACUUUACUAAAGAAGGCCUGGGAACGGGAGUGUAUUGAAAUAAAAUUGCGCUUCUGCUUUAAUGACGGGGUUGAACCCUCAAAACAGUAAUUGCGGGGGUAGUAGAUUUAAUUCAAGACAAUGUUUUGAGAGUGGAAUAUGACUCCGCUCACCUUGCAGACGUGCGAGGGGUUAAUAAGGCCAUAGAGGAAAUCGCUAACAACAGUUUCAAUGGCCAGGAUAAAACUAAGAAACGUAGUGAAAAAAAAUGAAAACGUAAGUAGACAGCUCCCUGUUUUAGAUGUGGGGCUAUCGGGCAUUGGAAGAAUGAGUUUAAGGUGAUACUGGAACCUAGUGCAUUAGCAUAUCACUUUAUGACGACUCAUGUGACAUGGAUUGGUUAUUGUUAACUGGGGGACCAAUGGGAGGACAGAGGAUGCUGUUAUUCAAAUAUUACAAAUUAUGUUUGUCAGGAAAUAACCCAUGUGUUACAGUGUGCAUAUCCUCAGGUGGAACCAAGAUAUAACUAAGGGCACGGGCUGAAUUCUGGAGAUUGAGUGUACAUCAAGAGACAUCAGGCGGGGGUGUUGAGCAUUGAUUUGAGAGACACACUACUUCGAACAGUACCUGCAGUGGUUAAGAUCGUCAUAUCUCUCCUUGGGGGGUGCAUAGUUUGCACGUGAAGUGAGGUCCAACUGCAUAAUGGGUGAGUGAAGACACCAUGACACAGGAAGAGGAGCGAGAGACAGACUAGAUUCCACUGUAAGACAUAGAGAUGGGUUGGGUCUGGAAACUAUUGUAAACAUCAUAGCUGGUUUGGGGUUCAGCUGCUUCAUGGGUUAAUGCAUCAUAUGAUAGAGGGGUAAUUGUACUGUGAACAAUAUGUUGAAAGCAUUGAGGUAAAAGCAGAUGCAGUGCUGAGUUCCCUCAAGAGGAUGGAACGUGGAUUAGGGAUAUGCACGUGCAUAUCAGGUGUUCGUGCCUAUCAAGUAAAAUGGAGAAGAUGGGGAAUAAAGUGAAAAUGACAUGACUUGGGAACACCUCUCAGAACCUGGGGCCUAAAGGGGAGCUUUCCUUUUUGUGGAACCCAGCAGGAAAUUAUCUUGGAGGCAUAGAGUCAGGUGAAGAGAGAGUGGGAAUUGUCAUGGUUUCAGACUUUGGUUUUCAUGCAUAUAUAAAUAUGCAUAGCUUAUCACAUUGUUUUAAUACUGUUAUGUUUUAUGUUUGUUUUUGUUGCUUUCUAAGUAUUGUGCUAUCACUCUCUUAGGAACCAGAAAGGGGGAAGUGGAGAAACCACAGCCACUCCAUCUGACAUAUAACAAGACCGCAGAUUCAGCUGGAAUGGCAUUUUGUUAUGUGAUGAUAGAUGGGAAUACAAUUGUGUGAUCAUAGUACAGAGGCCAUAAGUCUCUUACAUAUGUGAACCUCGCGUGACUGGUUGUUUAUUGUUUGUUCAUUUGUUUGUUUGUUUAAUUCAUGUUCUAUAAUCAUUUUUUCCCCCCAUGUUUUAUUAUAAUUGUUUAUACAUUUAAGUCGUUUCCAAGUUUAUGUAAAGUGAACAUUAGGAUGCUAUUGUUCAAGAGGAAGGACUGUUGGGAUUGGCUAAACUUUGAACAUUGAGAUAUUAAAUACAUGACAGAGACAAAAGCCUUGAAUAGAAAGUUGAUUAGAGAGGAAUGUUGGGUAUACCAUUUCAAGUCCAAGUGCAGCCAAAAGUGAUUUUCCUAGGUUAGGUUGCCAGUUCGAAUCCGGCGCGCGACUUGUUUUUGUAAAAAGCCAGAAGACUUUGGAAUGUGUUUGAUGGAGGAGAGGAGAGGAGAGCAAUGUGUUGAUAUAGGGAAGACGGAUGGAUAUCUGUGGGUCAGGAGGUGAGGGGUGAGGUCAGUUCCCCUUAAGGGAGUAAUCAGGGUUAGUAUCUGGUUACCUUCUUUCCUGUGGAGCCAUAAACUGUAAGGAAGAGGAGUGUCUUAAGUAGGAUGUAUAUAAACUGUGAUGUCUAUCUUUAGCUGUCUGUUUUCAGCUGUACAGAGCCUUGCAGUAUCAGUGGAACACUGCAGUUACGUGACAUGAUGAUAAAAACAAUUACAGACCUCUACAUGCUUUGUAAGUAGGAAAACCUGCAAAAUCGUAGGUGUAUCAAAUACUUGUUCUCCCCACUGUAUGUCCAGGUCAUGACAACAAACCCUGUGACCACCUGGUAAGUAUCUAUAGACAAAUAGCCACACAUAUCUUCCAUUGAUGACAUCCAUUCAUGAUUAUUAAAGUCAAGUUAGGAGUCCACCCAGUUUAAUAAUCAAGUACAAGGUUAAAUUCGGCAUACAUACUACAACUUAACCAGCUUCCAUACAGCAAAAUAAGAACGGAUUUACUCCUAUAGGGGAAUAGAGCACCAUGGACUCUGUGACAAAGCUCAUGGGUGAUCAGAGAUUUAUGCCAGAUUCUACAAUCAGGUUUUAUGCUUGAAUUUUAUUCUCCCAUUUGUCUUUUCUCUCUUCCAGGUCCCUCCCUGCUCUCCCUCGACUCCCAUGAACACCUGUGUCCCCCCAUCCCACUCACGCGCUCCUUCACCUACUCCUCACCAAUUCUUGGCAGCAAGGAUCCAAUUCGGGAAAGUCGCAUUCCCAGUCGUAAUGCUAGUGAGUUACCGCCACUGAUAUCCAAAAGUUAUUUCCGGCUGCAAAGUUGCGUCGGAGCUAGAAGCAGAUCUGCCAUAUCUGUCGGCGCCAUCUUCAUAAAUAUAGGAGCUGGGUCGAAUCAAGGUGCCGAAGACAGGCUCCUUCAUGACCAGUAUCUGUGACGAGACGAGCCUGGAGCUGAUCUACACUGCAAUACCCAACAGGCGUUGGCAAACACCUCCGAAGUGACAAAAAAUGGAGGACAGAAGAGCUGCUUUUGUCAUGGAGUCCUCUUACUGAAAGACUGGUUGAUACUGAUGUAUGAAUUGGGAGAGAGCUUUCACUCAGCAUUAAAAUUAAACUAGACACA